GUGCUCGCUUCGGCAGCGCAUGUACUAAAAUUGGAACGAUACAGAGAAGAUUAGCAUGGCCCCUGAGCAAGGAUGACACGCAAAAUUUGUGAAGUGUUCCAUAUUUUU